rnacentral:rRNA from 1 species
GCGCCUACAAGCGGUGGGAGCAGACUUGUUCUGUGACCGCGUGCUUUUUGCAUAACGAGCCGGCGAGUUACUCGUCUGCGGCAAGGUUAAGCGAUGAGCGGAGCCGUAGCGAAAGCGAGUCCGAAUAGGGCGAAUUAGUCGUAGGCGGUAGACCCGAAGCUGAGCGAGCUACCCAUGGGCAGGUUGAAGCGGGGGUAAGACCUCGUGGAGGACCGAACCGACCUAGGUUGAAAACUGGGCGGAUGACCUGUGGGUCGGAGUGAAAGGCUAAUCAAGCUCAGUGAUAUCUGGUUCUCUCCGAAAUAUAUUUAGGUAUAGCCUCGGAUAAAUUCCGUGGCGGCCGUAGAGCACUGUUUGGACUAGGGGCCCUACCAGGUUACCGAAUUCAGGCAAACUCCGAAGACCGUCACGGCUACUCCGGGAGUCAGUUGCUGGGGGAUAAACUUCAGCGUCAAAAGGGAAACAGCCCAGACCGCCAGCUAAGGUCCCUAAGUACUAGCUAAGUGGUAAACGAUGUUCGAGUGCAUAGACAACCAGGAGGUUGGCUUAGAGGCAGCCACCCUUGAAAGAGUGCGUAACAGCUCACUGGUCAAGUGUUCGAGCGCGGACAAUGUAACGGGGCUCAAGCUAGUCACCGAAGCUGCGGGUGCGAUAUUUAUAUCGCGCGGUAGGAGAGCGUUCCCAGGGCAGUGAAGCGGCGGGGUAACCCAGCCGUGGAGGCCUGGGAAGUGAGAAUGCCGGCAUAAGUAACGAAAGAAGGGUGAGAAUCCCUUCCACCGAUUGCCCAAGGAUUCCUGAGUAAAGUUCGUCUGCUCAGGGUUAGUCAGGACCUAAGGCGAGGCCGAAAGGCGUAGUCGAUGGCCAACGGGUUGAUAUUCCCGUACCACGUCGCGUUCGUUUGACCGAUGGGGGGACGAGGAAGGCUAUGGGAGCCCAGGCGAUAGUUGCCCUGGGGUAAGCGUGUAGGGGUGGUUCUAGGCAAAUCCGGAACCGCAUUAACCCGAGGCGCGAUGCCAGCUGGCUUUAAGCCGGCGAGUCCCGGACGCCAAGCCUCCAAGAAAAGCCUCUAGGGAGAACGCGCGUGCCUGUACCAAAACCGACACAGGUGGGCAAGUGGAGAACACUAAGGUGAUCGAGAUAACCCUCGUUAAGGAACUCGGCAAAAUCGCCCCGUAACUUCGGGAUAAGGGGCGCCCCAGUAGGGUGAAGCACUUCGCGUGUGGAGCCUGAGAGGGCCGCAGUGAAUAGGUUCAAGCGACUGUUUACCAAAAACACAGGUCUCUGCUAAGUCGUAAGACGACGUAUAGGGGCUGACGCCUGCCCGGUGCCGGAAGGUUACGUGGAGGUGUUAGGCGCAAGCCGAAGCACCGAAACUAAGCCCCGGUAAACGGCGGCCGUAACUAUAACGGUCCUAAGGUAGCGAAAUUCCUUGUCGGGUAAGUUCCGACCUGCACGAAUGGCGUAACGACUUGAACGCUGUCUCAACGAGGGGCUCGGUGAAAUUGCAGUCUCGGUGAAGAUGCCGAGUACCCGCGGCUAGACGGAAAGACCCCGUGAACCUUUACUACAACUUGGUAUUGAGGUUCGAUGCAUCUCGCUCAGGAUAGGUGGGAGGCUUUGAAGCGCUGGUUGCGGCCGGCGUGGAGCCAACCUUUAGAU